rnacentral:lncRNA from 1 species
GGGGAGCUGGUUAUAGCUUUACCUAGUUCCUAACAGCUGGGAAAACAAGCGAGCCACCCGCAGGCAGAUGCCCCCCUGCUCCGUGUGCCACCCUCCCCCAAACAGCUGCAGGAGGGGGUGGCCAAGCUGCCAUGGGAAGUGCCAUUGCGAAGUCAGGAGCAGAGUGAGUAGCCACCCUCGCAAGUGACAUGUCUUCUGGGGAUUUUUGGAAGCUUCUUCUAGAACACAGUGCAGUUGUACAGGAAGGAAAAAGGGAAUUCCCUGUACCAUUGGGAACUUUGCUGCUGCUUCUGUGAACUGUUCCAAGAGCUCCUGGAUCUCGCACUGCCAAAGUCCCCUUCUUACUUCAGUAACAGCAGAAUGACCUAAAAUUCUCCAGGGUGAGCCUGAUGACAGUUUCUAAUCUUUGUCCUGUGUGGGUGUUUACCACACACACACAAACACACACACACAAACGGUCUUCCUUAAGAUCCAGAUGCCCCCUCACACCCCCUGAGCCCAUUUCUCUGGUACCUGCUGCACAUCUACAUGAUGAACCUGUGGAAGCCAUGUUCAUGGGCAGGCCAUGUCGGCUACAGAGUCUCUGCUUUGUACAGUCACAUGAGCUAUUUUUCUCUCAAGGCUUUGCUUUUGUGUCGAAAUUUAUCAUAUUUUUUUUGCCUCAGUCCAGAUGUGAAUUUUUUUUUUCUGAAAACUUGAAGAAAAACCUUUAAGCUGUUUUGGACUUACUCAAGCAUGUAAAAAGGAUAUUUUCCACCCACAAUUCAGAUGCUUAGUAUGUUCUCAAAGAGCCCAAAUAAUUUGAAUUUAAAACUUUGAAUUGGGCCCCUUUAUGUAGUAUCUUUAAAAGGUGCCAUUUAUGAAGAAAAAUAUGGUCAUGAAAUAAAGGAUAUGGGG